GAUGAACGCUGGCGGCGUGCCUAAUACAUGCAAGUCGAGCGAACAGACGAGGAGCUUGCUCCUCUGACGUUAGCGACGGACGGGUGAGUAACACGUGGAUAACCUACCUAUAAGACUGGGAUAACUUCGGGAAACCGGAGCUAAUACCGGAUAAUAUAUUGAACCGCGUGGUUCAAUAGUGAAAGACGGUUUUGCUGUCACUUAUAGAUGGAUCCGCGCCGCAUUAGCUAGUUGGUAAGGUAACGGCUUACCAAGGCAACGAUGCGUAGCCGACCUGAGAGGGUGAUCGGCCACACUGGAACUGAGACACGGUCCAGACUCCUACGGGAGGCAGCAGUAGGGAAUCUUCCGCAAUGGGCGAAAGCCUGACGGAGCAACGCCGCGUGAGUGAUGAAGGUCUUCGGAUCGUAAAACUCUGUUAUUAGGGAAGAACAAAUGUGUAAGUAACUAUGCACGUCUUGACGGUACCUAAUCAGAAAGCCACGGCUAACUACGUG
rnacentral:rRNA from 1 species